UAGCAAAUAUAGGCUAUUUGGUGGGAACGGUGGGUGGCUGUGAGGUGGGGGAGGGAGCGAUGGGUGAGGAGACGUAUCCGAUCCAAUGGACCCCUAAAAGAAGAGAUGGUACAACCGGACUCCGCCGAACAAACUUUAUUUAUAACGCGAAGGGAACAAAAACCCGAUGUCGACCAAAGAUCAAGAUACUCCACUCCUACGUAAUCCAACGCACUGAGGUGUAGUACGUAACGGAGCGUCACGGCCGCCAUCUUUCAAUGCAAAACGUUAUCUGGUUCUCGCAGAUUUUUUAAAAAAGAGAACUGAAAAGAAAGAUCUAUAAUCUAAUAGAAAGGAAGAGAUAAAGAGAAAAAUAAGGAAGAAAGAAAAAACAAAAUAAGAAAAUUACCAAUAACAGUUUUGGAGAUAGGUCCGUAGAUUAUAAGGCGUAGUUAUUCAUCCAAUCCUGACCUCGGGUUUCAGUCCAGCUUCGGUGUUGAAUCAAUUUACCUCUUUAAAAAAAAAUCAAUAAAUGGAGACCAUAUUCUAACAAAUAAUUCUAGUUUGUCAAUUAAGACAAAUCUAAUUUUUUCCAAGUGUAAGGUCUCAGACAUUUCUGUAAUCCACAUUUUAAGUGUGGGGGUUGUUGGAUUUUUCCAAAAUCUUAGUAUUAAUUUUUUCUCAAUAAUUAUACUGUAAUCAAGAGAAUGUAUUUGAUUUGUUUUAUACUUUGUUCUGAUAUUCCCAAUAGUAUUAAUUUUGGAUCGGAAUCCAAUUGAAUAUUAACAACUUCAGAAAUAUCCAUCCAAAAUGUUUUCAUUUUUAUUCAAUUUACCAAGGUAUGAGUUGACUUCUAGGUAUUGACAUUUAUCACAGAUAGGUGAGAUAUUUGGAAAAAUUCUGUUUAGUUUUCGUUUGGAGUAAUAUAAUCUAUGUAAUAAUUUAAAUUGUAUUAAAGAAUGUCUGGUGUUUAACGAA